GAGUUUGAUCGUGGCUCAGGACGAACGCUGGCGGCGUGCCUAAUACAUGCAAGUCGAGCGAGUCUCUUCGGAGGCUAGCGGCGGACGGGUGAGUAACACGUAGGCAACCUGCCUCUCAGACCGGGAUAACAUAGGGGAAACUUAUGCUAAUACCGGAUAGGUUUUUGGAUUGCAUGAUCCGAAAAGAAAGAUGGCUUUUCGCUAUCACUGGGAGAUGGGCCUGCGGCGCAUUAGCUAGUUGGUGGGGUAACGGCCUACCAAGGCGACGAUGCGUAGCCGACCUGAGAGGGUGACCGGCCACACUGGGACUGAGACACGGCCCAGACUCCUACGGGAGGCAGCAGUAGGGAAUUUUCCACAAUGGACGAAAGUCUGAUGGAGCAACGCGCGUGAACGAUGAAGGUCUUCGGAUUGUAAAGUUCUGUUGUCAGGGACGAACACGUACCGUUCGAAUAGGGCGGUACCUUGACGGUACCUGACGAGAAAGCCACGGCUAACUACGUGCCAGCAGCCGCAGUAAG
rnacentral:rRNA from 1 species